UUUCCGUAGGUGAACCUGCGGAAGGAUCAUUACAGAGUUCAUGCCCUCACGGGUAGAUCUCCCACCCUUGAAUAUUUAUACCUUAGUUGCUUUGGCAGGCCGUGGAAACACCAUGGGCUCCGGCUUAUGCGUGCCUGCCAGAGGAAACAAACUCUGUUUUUUAGUGAUGUCUGAGUACUAUAUAAUAGUUAAAACUUUCAACAACGGAUCUCUUGGUUCUG
rnacentral:misc_RNA from 1 species